AAAAAUUUAGUUAAUUCUAUAACAUUAACUUGUCAAGUUAAAAUAAUUAAAAUAAUAAUUUUUU
rnacentral:tRNA from 1 species